UUAGAGAGUAAAAGUCGUACAAGGUUCCGUAGGUGAACCUGCGGAAGUUCAUUA
rnacentral:rRNA from 1 species